rnacentral:lncRNA from 1 species
UGUCCAUCACCCAGUUGGUCCCGGGCCAUUUGGGAAGCUGGUUGUACUGUGCAGGUCUGAAGUCUCAGGUCCGACUGGGUCAGGUGGGGCCCCCAGCUCACCAAGCAACGAGGUGUAGCAAGGUCCCUAAGGCUGGAUGAUGGCGUAUCAAGGGUUCCCACAGGCUCUGAUUGCACUUGGCCAAGGCCAGCAGCUGGCCCAGCCACAGGGAAGCUGGUGUCCCUUGACUGAGUCCAGGAGCCAGACCCUCAUGGGGCUUGGUGCCCACUGUGAGGUGCCUGGUGCUAGCCACCGGGGCAGCCAGGUGAACAGAAGCGGGCAGGAAGGGAGGGAGAGGCCUGGGUAGGCCACCGGCUUCAUCACUGGCAACACCCACUCUCCUCGCCUUUUUUAACUUUUUCAUUUUGAAAUUAUUUCAACUUAACUAAAAACUUGAAAAAAUAGAACAGAGCAAUCCAAUCUUUCACCCUGUUUCCCCAAAUGUUAACACCUUACCUAACCACCAUAAAAUGAUUACAACCAGAAAAUUAGCAUUGAUACAAUACUACUAACUAAUCUACAGGCUUUAUUUGAAUUUUACCAGUUGUCUCACUCAUAUCCCUUUUCUGAGCCACCAUCCAACCUGGGGUCCAGAUCCCACAUCACACUUAGCUGGGUCUCCUUUAAUCAAAGAUGGCUCCUCAGUCUGCCUUUGACUUGAAUGAUGACACUUUUGAAAAGCACUGGCCAGUUUGUUGGUAGAGUGUCCCUUAUUUUGGUUUGCUCUUCAUGAUGACAUUCAGGUUUUGUGCCUGCAAGUGACACACGUCCUCAGGAGGCCCAUGAUACAUCCCUUUACUGGUGCUAACUUUUUUCUUCAUUUUUAUUGAGGUACAAUGAAUACAAUGCAAUGCACAUCUUUAAAGUGUACAAUUUGUUAUCGAGUGGGAUUCUGAUCUAAGGACGAGCUGUCCCUUCUCCGUUUACUGACGCCCUCCCCUCUCGGAAGCUCCCGGUGCCGGCUGGCAAACGAGGCGUGCCAGACAGCGCAUGCGCUUGUCUCUUCGCUUUGGCUGGGAAUCCUGCAAGGC